UCUUUAUCAAGAAGAGACGAGGGAUUUGGCCCCAUGACUCUCUACCAACCUGUUCGCGACAGCUUGUCGCCCGCUCAAGGUGGUCCGUCCAACCCGCACCGGGAAAGAUACGUC
rnacentral:ncRNA from 2 species